UGCCCGGAUUGUGACGUCCAGUCUGGUUGCUGUGGCAACCCCAUCCCAUCGUUCCGGCAGCGCGACUAGUUAACAGCAAAGAACAAGUUGGGAGACUAGUCCUGAGCCGCUGGUCUAGGGUGGGGACCGGGAGGGGGGGCGCCCCGGCAGGGGGAGCCGUCGAGGCGUCCGCGCGCCCGGGGACCCGACGGCCGAGCGGGCAGCCUGGGCUGGGCGAGCCCGGGCACAGGGAGAGGCGGGGAAACGCCGCCCCCGCGCACCCCUGGCAGGGCAAGCAGCCUCCGCCCUCCAGGUCCCGGGUCCCCCAACGGCGCGGAGGGGUGUCCAGGGCAGCUCGCCGCCCGCUCCCCACUGGGUUCACACCCGCAGGGACCCGCCCCGCACCCGGCUCCGGCCUCGGUACGUUCCUGACCUCCUCUCCAAAGAGGAUUAUAAGAAAAACGUGUUCCACACUUGAGGAAAGGACGGAGACUGUGGGUCUGGUUACUGCAGAAAAAUCCGCGCAGGCGGGCUCCCCUCACCCGCUUCCCCGCUCCCACCGCCCACGUGCCAUCUUCCAAAAAGCCCCUCCAGGCUGGGUCCAGCUCAAAGCCAUGCAGAGCCCUGCCGGCAGUGCGGAUCUGCGUCGUCUGUGCCCAAAAUUCCCGCUCAGAAGCGACACCUGUCUCGGAGCGAAAGGGACCGCCGCCACCAGUCCUCGGUCGUUAAAGGUGAAGAUGGAGGCCAAAGCCCUCGGGAGCAAGACUGGAAUUUUAAAUGAGCGCCUUCAGUCUCCGCGGCGGCAAGUCUUAGAGCUACCUUAAGAACGCAAAGUUCCAGGGGCCGGCCGGCCGCCAGCUCUCUAACCCCAGAGGGACUCCCUCUCUCACUGCCUCGCAGGGGCAUUGGGGGAACCACCUGAGACCAGCGAGAUCAGCUGGGCUUGGGGAGCCAAGAGCAGGGAGGAAGUCUCCGCUGGAGCCCCAUCCAGACCAGCUCUAACCGCUGCCCCUGUUAUGCUGGCAUCUCUCCCUGUCCUGCCAUCUUUGUAGAGCCGGGCGAGUUGUGCCCACUCGGCCAAGGGUCCCCAGUGCAAGACCUCUUCGGGAGGUCACCACAACCCAAGCCACCGUGAGUCCAGGCCACUGGCCAGAGGCAAAGGAUGGCUGGGGAAGGGCAGAGAGAAGGGAGCAGUUCUCCGGUUCUUCCCAUCCAAUUUAAUUGCCAGCAAGCUCCAAACAAAAGACCCUCUGCAUUCAUUCCUGGGCAAAGAGAGAAAGCCGCCCCCAUCAUUAACCUUGGCUCCAAUUCCCAAGGCGAGGCUGAGAAAGUCAAGAUAUCAUUCAAGAAAGAACACUUCUAACUGCUUCAUUUGGCAACAAAUCAGAGUCAAGAUGCUCAUCAGUCAUAAUCCUCUCCCCAUCCUGUCCUUCCUGAUGACUGCAGCUAGGUAAUAUUAUUUAAUGUCCAAAAGCACAAACUGGAAUGCUAGAAACAAAUGGACGUUUUACUACAAAUCUCCAGUCUUUUUAAAGGAGAGCUCUUAUUAUUGUUAAAUAUUAAAUGGUCAUUUUAAUUACAAUGGCCAAAAAUGCAUGAUGUUAAAAGCAACCCCUAAAAAGGUGAACAGUAAACUGCAGUUGCGAGAACAAGCCUAUUGGGAAGGUCACUGUUUCAGUAGACGCGAUUCUCAUGUCUGCCGAUCGGAGAGCUCAUAAUUACACCUCAGUGGCAAUUCAAAAACUAAAAUAUUUUUUAACAUAUUCAUUAUACAAGCAUCAAGGAAAAAAAAAAAUUUUCCAGCCAGUUGCAGUGGCUCAUGCCUGUAAUCCCAGCACUUUGGGAGCCUGAGGUGGGCAGAUCACCUGAGGUCAGGAGUUUGAGACCAGGUUGGCCAACAUGAAGAAACGCUGUCUUUACUAAAAAUACAAAAAUUACGGGCCAGGUGAGGUGGCUCACACCUGUAAUCCCAGCACUUUGGGAGCCUGAGGUGGGCGGAUCACCUGAGGUCAGGAGUUGGAGACCAGGCUGGCCAACAUGAAGAAACCCUGUCUCUACUAAAAAUACAAAAAAAUUAGCCAGUCGUGGUGGUGGGCGCCUGUAAUUCCAGCUACUCGGGAGGCUGAGGCAGGAGAAUCGCUUGAACCCAGGAGGCAGAGGUUGCAGUGAGCCGAGAUCGCGCCACUGCACUCCAGCCUGGGCUACAGAGCACUACUCUGUCUCAAAAUAAAAUAAAGUUGAUGACACAUAAUAAUAAUUAAAAAUUUUAAAAGUUUUGCCAGGCGCGGUGGCUCAAGCCUGUAAUCCCAGCACUUUGGGAGGCCGAGGCGGGUGGUCUCGGAUCAAGAGAUCGAGACCAUCCUGGUCAACAUGGUGAAACCCCGUCUCUACUAAAAAUACAAAACAUUAGCUGGGCAUGGUGGCGCGUGCCUGUAAUCCCAGCUACUCAGGAGGUUGAGGCAGGAGAAUUGCCUGAACCCAGGAGGCGGAGGUUGCGGUGAGCUGAGAUCGCGCCAUUGCACUCCAGCCUGGGUAACAAGAACGAAACUCCGUCACAAAAAAAAAAAGCUAAAAAAAAAUUUUUUUUUUUUUUUUAAACAAUUUAGCUGAGCAUGGUGGCGUGCACCUGUAAUCCCAGCUCCUUGGGAGGCUGAGGCAGAGUCACUUGAAUUUGAGAGGCAGAGGUUGCAGUGAGCCAAGAUUGUGCCACUGCACUCCAGCCUGGGUGACAGAGUGAGACUCUGUCUCAAAAAAAAAGCUUUUUCCAAGAAAAGAGUUGAAAAAGCGCAUCAGCCAGGUGCGGUGGCUCACACCUGUAAUCUCAGCACUUUGGGAGGCUGAGGCGGGUGAUCACCUGAGGUCAGGAGUUCAAGACCAGCCUAACCAAAAUGGUGAAACCCUGUCUCUACUAAAAAUACAAAAAAUUAGCCAAGUGUGGUGGCAGGCUCCUGUAAUCCCAGAUACUGGGGAGACUGAGACAGAAGAAUCCCUUGAACCCGGGAGGUGGAUAUUGCAGUGAGCUGAGGUUGCGCCAUUGCACUUCAGCCUGGGCAACAAGAGCAAAACUCCGUCUCAAAAAAAAAAAAAGAAAAGAAAAAGCACAUAAUCUUCUGCACAUACCAUAGUCGGUUUCCAUUCCAGGGCUACCUGAACUCCUAUCCAGGCAGCCCCAAGCCCUGCCUGAGGCCAGUUUGUUCAACAGCACACACCCCUGCUGUGGCCACGCAGCAUGCCUGGUUUUCAAGGCCUGUGAAGCGCUUGUACGCACACCACCUCGCAGCCACAUGGCUCUAAGCUGCCCCAUGCCGCCUCCUCAGCAGGUGUGAGACAGCGUCACUCAGGACCACAGUGCCCACCUGCUGCACCAAAAUUUUCCUUGUUCUUGAAGCCUUUUUCUCAGUAUGGACCCUGCAUCACCUGAAUCCAAAUCAGCUGGGGCUUCAGGAGAGGAGGGCGCUUCUCAAAAAGACAGUCCUGGGCCGUGGUCCUGAACCCGAGAAAACACUUGUACAAGCCUGAGAACUGAGAACUGAGAACUUUUUUUUUUUUUUUUUUGAGACGGAGUCUCACUCUUUCACCCAGGCUGGAGUACAGUGGCAUAAUCUUGGCUCACUGCAACCUCUGCCUCCCGGUUCAAGAGAUUCUGCCUCAGCCUCCCAAGUAGCUGGAAUUACAGGUGCCUGCCACCACGCCAGGCUAAUUUUUGUAUUUUUAGUAGAGACAGGGUUUCAUCAUAUUGACCAGGCUGGUCUCAAACUCCUAACCUCAUGAUCCACCCGCCUCCACCUCCCAAAGUGCUGGGAUUACAGGCACCUGCCGCCAGGCCCAGCCUGUCUGAGAACAUUGUAUGGGUGCUUUCUGGGUUCUAGGGACAGUGGUAGCUAACUCACUCCACUGGUCAGCACAGCCUUUACAGACUGUUUUAACUGGGCCCAAAAUAGCCCAGGGGGAAAAAAAAAUGUGUAUUCCCAAAUCCAUCCCAAAGACAAGAAAAUGGCUGGAUUAGAAAUUCAGUUUCCUGUUCCUAGAGAUAAGCACUAUGAUGGCACCGGUUAACAUGUGGUCUCCAUCUGAUUCCUAUAGGUGGAGGGCCACCUCCUUUCAGGGAUGGCAAAUCCCCACAUCAAGCCUCUCUACUACCCUCUUCUCCCUCAAAGAGAAGCAACCUCACAGUUUAUUCCACUAAAUACAGGCCCAUCCCCACGACUCAGCGAACUCGGGCAGGUGUCCACCCAGCUCUCCUUCGGGGGCCUGGCCCAUCUCUCACUCCCAUGGUGCCCCUACCCUGUGGUUUCUGACUCCAGCCACCCCAGUGAUCUGUCCCUGCAACUGCCAGAUCUGUAGCUGUCCCAUAUCCUAAGUCCCCCCGACCCACGGGAGGGCCAGCAGCUCUUGGCUUACUACACUUGACAAGUUUAAGGGUCUAAGACUUGUGUACAAAUGGAAAGUGAAAUCAGGUGUCAAACCAAAUUCCAGGCUCCCCUGACAUUAUCAGUGACUUAACAGCCGGACCACUAUCCCCACCCACUGGGGUCCUUUUCACCUUCCAGGAAAUCAAGUGUCCCCUAAAAAGGCUGACGUCUAGAUAGCCCCAGACAUCAAAUGUCUUAAGACACUUGGUAUCAUCCAACCCCCUCACUUUCCUCAAGUUUCUGACCACUCUGUCCUACACACCACACAUGAGCAGUUAGGACCCAUGUAUUUAAACACCUGGCUGUUCCUAAAGGUAUGAGUACAACACUAAGCAAACACUUCACCACUCCAAGUGCCAUGGGAAAAGGGGGAUCAGAGGCUUUUGGAGACAAAACACAUGAAGCCUUUAGUUUUUUGUUGUUGUUUUUUGCAUUUAGUAAUGACUAGUUUUGGCCAAGUGUGGUGGCUCAUGCCUGUAAUCCUAGCACUUUGGGAGGCUGAGGCGGGUGAAUCACCUGAGGUGGGGAGACCAGCCUGACCAACGUGGAGAAACCCAUCUCUACUAAACAUACUAAAUUAGCUGGGCAUGGUGGCAGGCGCCUGUAAUCCCAGCUACUUGGGAGGAGGUUGAGGUGAGCCAUCACUCCAUUGCACACCAGCCUGGACAACAAGAGUGAAACUUCAUCUCAAAAGAAAAAAGUGACACUAGUUCAUAGCACACAGUGACCAUUAACACACCUCAUUUCUUCGGCUGUACCAGCACUCUCAAGGGAAGGGCAUGAGGGUGUUUGUGUAACUCACAUUGGCGGAUAUGAGACCGACCGCCUGUUUCAGCACUCUCAUGAACUUAAAUCACAGCUUGAAACUCUCCACGACCCCAGUCAGCCUCCGUGCCUCAACUAUUUUCGAUCAGGCAAGCGAGGUGUGAGUCAAAACAGAUACAAAGGAAACUGGUCUACAAUAUGUUUUGGGCACAGCUGGUGUCAUGGCUGUGACGGAAUUCAAGUGCACACCACAUAUUCCCCAUCAGAAAACCGCAUUUGCUGGCAAAGCUGCUCCCUAAGCUCUGCAUCUGGAGAAAUUCUAGUUAGUGACAGCCCACUCCUGAAUCUCACUGCGGCAAGCAGCACAGCUAAGGGGAGAACAUCGAAAUAAAGGACAUCGUUUCUUCUAAGCCUAAUGAAGACCAACAGAACUGUUGGUACAGCAACUAAUUUGUGAGGACAAAGCUGUUCUUAACAUGCCAGUCCUUAAAGAAACAAAGGCUUGCACAGUAGUAGUAGCCACGUGUUAGCCACUUUAAUAGAAAACGUGAUCAAAACUCCAUUACAAGAGAUCAGAAAGACAUAGAAAAACCAGUGAGUUUCAAUUUUAUUACAAGUUUUCAGAUCUGGGACUAGUUUUCUUCUUUCAACUUAAAUGGUAACUUCAGCCCAGGGUUUUUUCACAACCAAACUAAAAAUUACUUUCUACAUGGGAACAUCAAUGCAACAAACAAGUAAAAUUUGCAAACUCAAGCCACAAAGUCACAGUUAAUAAUCACGGUAAGGGCAUCGCCAAAAAGCAACUGAUGCCUCAGUGAAGUUUGAAAGAAACUCUGCCUUCUGUGAAGGCAGAGAAAUACACAAGCAAUUCUGCUUCAAAGAAAUUUGCAUAGAAAUGGAAAAUGCUAGAGCCUUUAACACAAGUGAAAUUGCAAAGCCUCAACAUGUUCAACUAAUCCACAGAGCACCAAAUGUUAAAUUGGAGCCAAGGUAGGAUCAAACAUUGAAUUUCCAGCUAUGCAACUCAGAGCACAAGUUCAGGUAUGGAAACCAUCUGUAGGCAAGCUCUUUUAGAAACAUGAAUUUCAUACACCGUAAAUUCUAAAACAGACACUUCAUUACUGUCUGAACUUCUUUCAAAGUCACUCACGGCAACAAUUGCAACUCUUUUCCCAGCUUUGGUAGCCCUUCUUAAUUCUCUAACCUGUGCACUGUGUCACACCAGUUUGUAGAAUGACUUCUGAUAUUACAUCUAGUCAUGGCCUAAGUGGCAUGGAGCAGCUACUUCCUGGGCACCUCCCAUCUCCUUAGCAUGGGAAGCUUCCCAGUCACUUCGCCUCUGUGGCCCCCUUCACCAGAGCUUCCAGAGCUCUUGGCAUCGGGGGCCCCCGAUGGCUGGGCCCCACACAGGAGGCCACAUCUGGAAGCACUAUUCCUACAGCUCCCUCUGCUGGAGACCAAAGGGACAGUUUGUUGCAAAGACUUGUAGAAACAUUACUUACACAUUCAUUUUUGUACACAUUUAGUUAAUUUAGAACCUGGGACUUUUACAGUUGAUCCCGCAAACGCCUUUACGGACAGUGACGGACUACACACCAAUGCUGAAGGAGUGCAGCUUCUCUCUCUAGGAAGAAGAGGAUUAGCAGACAUAAUUGUGUGCGUCAAGAGAAAUUUGUAAUCAAAAAAUUAAAGACGAAUGACCGAAAAACCCGUAUUUUAUUGACACUUUUUCCCACAGAGAAUCUUAGAAAGAUGCCACAUUUUCUGUUAAUGAAUGAGAGGAGCCCACUCGUAUCCUGAAUCAUUGUUUGCGAACAGCAACAGAUACAAUUGUCACACUUUUAAAAUAACAGCCACUCCCUUCAGCCCACACCUCCACACCCUCAUCUGCCACCCCAAGGCUGUCAGUUCCGUCAAGUCACCCCCUCCUACUCUGGUAUUACCUUGAGAAUUGAAAUUUUCAAGCAGAAAAAAAAGAA